GGUGUGACUUUGUUGGAGGAGGUGUGUUACCAGGGUGCAGCAGGCUUUGAGAUCUCAGCCUCUCAAGCUAGACCUUCGGAUCCAGAUGUAGAACUCUCAGCUCCCUCUCCAGGACCGCGCCUGCCCGUGUGCCACCAUGCUCCCUAUCAUAAUGAUAAUGAACGGCACCUCUGAAAUUUGUUCAAAACAGUCAGAAGGUGGAAACAAAAGGGCCUAAUACAGGCAUGGAAUGGAGCAACAAGAUGUGGUUUACUCAUAAACAGGAACAGCAUUCUGACACAUGCUACAUUGGUCAACACAUCAAGUUUGUGGCAGGAUGAAGAGCUGGCUUUCAGUCUGUGCUGUGGCCAGAGACGAUGGUGAUGACAGCAACGGUUUCCACAACAUUUUGUUAUAACAAGGAGGAGUCCUCUGAUGAGCUCAGAGCCUUUUGCCAGGACCUGUUCCUCUCUGGGGAGGCGGUUCUGGACUUUCAGGAGUGGCUUAGCCACGCCUCUGCUAGCUUUCUCUUUCACACUGCCAGCCCCAGUGAUUGGGCAAAUACAGCGAGAGACAACGUGUUUGAUCCUAUGCCAUAUAAAAGUCAAAUGGCUUCAGAAUGAAGAUGCAUUGAGCAAUGUGCUAUUAUUUACAGACACGAAGGCCAAAGAACAACUGAUUAACAGGGGCACUGAAAUAAAGACUCCAUGUUUAGCACACUCAUAAGAUGACACCAUUUCAGCUGGUCUGCCUAUCAAGAGUGGGAGUGCUCGCUUGGGCGGCGCUUCUCCCCAGUAACGAAAUGUUUUGACUUGAAAUGCCAAUGUUUCUUUCCGGAGGUUUCAGAAAUCGAACUCCAAAGAUGACUUUGCUCUUGCCCAUUCCCUCUGCAGCUGGGCCAUGCAGCUGGAAGCCUCUGCAGGCAGGGCUGCCAUUCGCUGCCACUAGCACAGGCUGUGUGUUUGGUUAAGAAAACGGGCCUGCUCGCUCGUUGGAGAGAACACUGACCCCUGGCUACCAAACAUGAAAGAGUCUUUUAUCACACACGGACUCUAUAAAACAAACUUUCUGGCAAGACUCUUUGCAGGGGUCAGUAUAGCAUACUACCUUAAAUCUGGUAGAUACUAAUGAGUGAAGACUGGUCCUCUGUAUGUGAAAAUUCUGAGGUUGCCAUGGCAUUCCUGUAAGACACUCACUGCUGCCAAAAACCAAAAUGAAAACCCCCACAGCAGGGCUUCAUCUGCAGGUUAUUUCUGUUCUAGUGAGGGCUCUCUAUGGCUGUGAUAAAACAUUGACCAAAACCAGCUCAGGGGAGGAAGGGGCUGAUUUCCUCUAACAGCUGCCCAGUUCACAGUCGAAAACUGAGGGCCCAGGGCAGGGACUCAAGGCAGGAACCUGGAGGCAGGAGCUGAAGCAGAGACCGCAGAGAAACGCUGUUCUCUGGCUUGCUUUCAUGCUGCCAAAACCAAUACCACGUGGGAGACUCACGCAUUCCCAAGUUUGGCUACCAGCUUGAGAUGCAGCCUCCCCCACCCACCACCACCACAGCUUCUGUGUGCUGACCCCGAGGAACUACUCAGGGGAUCUCUCAGGGACUGCCAAUUCUUUAGGCCCAGCUGACCAGAAUCAAUUAUCUCAAUAAAGCAAAGGUUUCACUUCGGUGGUGCCGGUCUAUUAAUCACAGCUGACCAGAAACCACCGAUUCUUAAUUCAAAAUACCAACUAAAUGGUGCAAUCGUCUUUGAGGGAUUCUCAGUCUUCUCAGGCCUUGGCCCUCGGCGCCUCUAUAACAUUGCUUUCUCCCAGGCUCCCAUAACAGCUUCUUAAGCUCUCAUCACUGGGUGGCCUUUUCAAGCCCAAACCUUCCAAAGCCUUCCAUAAUUCUCCCAUAACAAUACGGUCACGCCCAUCACCACAAUACCACACUCUCUGGUACCGAUUUCUGGUUUCCGUUGCUGUGAUAAACACCACAACCAAAAAGCAACUUGGGGAGGAAAGGGUUUGUUUGGU